AGUGAACGCUGGCGGUAGGCCUAACACAUGCCAGUCGAACGGCAGCACAGUAAGAGCUUGCUCUUACGGGUGGCGAGUGGCGGACGGGUGAGGAAUACAUCGGAAUCUACUUUUUCGUGGGGGAUAACGUAGGGAAACUUACGCUAAUACCGCAUACGACCUACGGGUGAAAGCAGGGGAUCUUCGGACCUUGCGCGAUUGAAUGAGCCGAUGUCGGAUUAGCUAGUUGGCGGGGUAAAGGCCCACCAAGGCGACGAUCCGUAGCUGGUCUGAUAGGAUGAUCAGCCACACUGGAACUGAGACACGGUCCAGACUCCUACGGGAGGCAGCAGUGGGGAAUAUUGGACAAUGGGCGCAAGCCUGAUCCAGCCAUACCGCGUGGGUGAAGAAGGCCUUCGGGUUGUAAAGCCCUUUUGUUGGGAAAGAAAAGCAGCAGGUUAAUACCCCGCUGUUCUGACGGUACCCAAAGAAUAAGCACCGGCUAACUUCGUG
rnacentral:rRNA from 1 species